GAUAUCACAAAAACUAAAAGGCAGAAAGAAAAAGGAAAAAAAAAAGCAAGAGAAAGCUCAAAAUCACAGCCAAAAUGUACUCUAGAUGCAAAGGAAAGAGUUCAUGGCCUGAAUUAGUGGGUAAGCUGGGAAAAGAUGCAGAGGAGAUUAUUGAGAAAGAGAAUCCGUCUGUUAAUGCUAUCAUUGUUGAAGAGGGCUCAAGUGUGUCUUUUGACUUCAGGUGUGAUAGGGUUUGGGUCUGGGUCAAUAAGGAAACCUGCACUGUUACUAGGACUCCUUCUAUUGGUUAGUCCUACAAAAAAAAAAAACCGUGACGGAAUUUGUAACUUGGUUUCCUCUUUUAGACCCUUCGACUCUCCAAUAAAGUUCUUGUUUUGUCAUGUUUCAAUAGCUGCAAAUACCUCUCGUGUUGUUUUACCAACAAUGAGUUUAUGAAUAAAGAUAUUUGUAUUUUGUUUUAAGA